AUUUGGGCAGAGGGAUCCUCCUCCUCUCAUCACUGGUUAAGCUCCGGAGGAAGGCAAGGCUGACUCUUCUGCAUAUACUUCAACCUCUAGCAGAAAGGUCCUGCUUAGAAUUCCUGGACAUAUACACAGAUCCUCCAGAAGAAGCUAGAACAAGGACAGAUUGUCUGCCCCUUUCCUGGAAGCCAGGAAGACUCGAGUCUCAAUGUCCAACAAGACAGAGUCCCCUGAAAGCAUUUGGACACUGUCUGGACUGUAGCUAAGCAUAGCAAGUGGGUGGUAAUAAUUUGUGAGUAAAUGGUUAAAUGCCUCUCUGUAAUUCUCCAUUGCCUUCUGCCAUAGAGCAGGAAGAGCUCCUUGAGCCCAUCUACUGGGCAAGCAGCGUAUUGACUGCAGUGGCACUUGUCUGUGGGAACCUUCUCUUCCAGUUCAAUUAAUGUUUAUGUAUUUUGCUGGUUGUUACUAGAUCUAGAUAUUGUCCAUAGAAUGUGUCUGUGGCUGUGUAAGAACCAAAAGAUUGUUUAAAAUUAGUGGUUGGGGGUGGUGAGUUUUUGAUAUCAAAAUGAAUAAACAAUAUUCAUUUUUUAAAAGUA